rnacentral:rRNA from 1 species
AUGGCCCACAACGAUGAGGCCGGGGGUUCGGGCGGCAAGGCAUUCUGGGAGCUGUCCCAGGAGAUGGAGGAACAACCUCACUUGUAUGAGGCCGCCGCCUUCCCCACCGAUCCUGAGACCACGGAUGGUGCCGCCGAGGAUGACCACACUGAUGCCACCACUGAUGGUGCCGCCGAGGAUGCCACCACUGAUGAUGGCGGCACACGCACAGAUAGCAGCCAGCCGAAGAGGCAACGGAAGGACCGGCGCCCGAUCGUGCUCCGCACCCUCAAGGAGGAAGUUACUGAAGUGGACUCCAACGGGAAUCCAACGGCGCCCGAACGAAUAGUCAAGGGGUACUCGCUUCAGCUCGGGUGCAUUGUCCGGAGCACCGUCUCGAUCAACACCAAGAACCUGAGGCAUCCUGACCGGGGGAAUUUGCGCCACCUCCUCUUCACGAAGCUGCACGAAUGA